UACGUAGGGUGCAAGCGUUGUCCGGAAUUAUUGGGCGUAAAGAGCUCGUAGGCGGUCUGUCGCGUCUGCUGUGAAAACUCAGGGCUUAACCCUGAGCUUGCAGUGGGUACGGGCAGACUAGAGUGCGGUAGGGGAAACUGGAAUUCCUGGUGUAGCGGUGAAAUGCGCAGAUAUCAGGAGGAACACCGGUGGCGAAGGCGGGUCUCUGGGCCGUAACUGACGCUGAGGAGCGAAAGCAUGGGGAGCGAACAGG
rnacentral:rRNA from 1 species